UAAGAUUUUCAGGGUCGGGUGAUUGAAGGCGACUUCAUGAUUCCCAACCGGCGGUAUAGCCCGCGAAUCGGGGGUAAAAAACCCCAGAUCGAACCGGUGAGAUUCCGGUGCCGACGGUAUAGUCCGGAUGGAAGAAAAUCUCG
rnacentral:ncRNA from 2 species